ACCUAUAGUGAAAUAUUUAAUUAAAAAUAGGUCUGGCAUUUUGUGUUCGCAACUUAUUCAUUUAAACAGAACACAUCCACGAAAUGGCAAUGUUAAACCGAUCUAUAAGGAUAUUUUCUCUCAAAAGACAUUAUGCAACUGAAGUUAGAGAAAACAUAAUACGAAAACUAAGGGAGAAUAUGUCAAGAAUGCAAGCUGAUGAUGGAGUUCCAGUUCAUCUUAAAAAGGGGUUAUUUGACAAGAUGCUUUUUCAAGCCACUUUCAUUUGUGGUCUUAUCGGAGCCACGAACGGACUUUAUACAAUUAUAACAAUGGCAUUCAAAAGGAAGUAAAUAUAUAUCUACUAAGUAAUUCUAUGUAGGUAAUUAUGGCAUGUAUUAUAAAAUUGAUUCUAAAAUAAAAUACACUUGAUAUAGUU